rnacentral:tRNA from 1 species
UAGUAUAGUAGUACAUACUAGUAGUAUUAGUACUAUUACUAGUAGUACAUACUAAUACAAGUAGUACUAGUAGAACAUGUUCUACAUGUACUACUAA